rnacentral:rRNA from 1 species
UGCAGUCGAACGAGAAAGGGACUUCGGUCCUGAGUAGAGUGGCGCACGGGUGAGUAACACGUGGAUAACCUGCCCUAAGGUCUGGGAUAACAUUUCGAAAGGGAUGCUAAUACCGGAUAAGCCUACGCCCCCCUCGGGGGAAGUAGGAAAAGAUUUAUUGCCUUGGGAUGGGUCCGCGGUCCAUUAGCUAGUUGGUAGGGUAAUGGCCUACCAAGGCUUCGAUGGAUAGCUGGUCUGAGAGGAUGAUCAGCCACACUGGAACUGAGACACGGUCCAGACUCCUACGGGAGGCAGCAGUGGGGAAUUUUGCGCAAUGGACGAAAGUCUGACGCAGCAACGCCGCGUGAAGGAUGAAGGCCCUUGGGUCGUAAACUUCUGUCAGUGGGGAAGAAAUGCCCGCAAGGGAGCUGACGGUACCCACAAAGGAAGCACCGGCUAACUCCGUGCCAGCAGCCGCGGUAAUACGGAGGGUGCAAGCGUUGUUCGGAAUUAUUGGGCGUAAAGCGCGUGUAGGCGGUCUGUUAAGUCUGGUGUGAAAGCCCUGGGCUCAACCCAGGAAGUGCAUUGGAUACUGGCAGACUUGAGUAUGGGAGAGGAAAGCGGAAUUCCGAGUGUAGGAGUGAAAUCCGUAGAUAUUCGGAGGAACACCAGUGGCGAAGGCGGCUUUCUGGACCCAUACUGACGCUGAGACGCGAAAGCGUGGGGA